ACCUGUCGCUAGGGGGACCCCUUUGUGGGUUGAGAGUGACUGAUUGUCUGACCCUCACUACUUGAUCCGGUUAAUACCGGCGUAAGGAAGCAUUCUAUUGACAGC
rnacentral:ncRNA from 2 species